rnacentral:rRNA from 2 species
UACGUAGGGUGCAGGCGUUAAUCGGAAUUACUGGGCGUAAAGCGUGCGCAGGCGGCUCCUUAAGUCAGAUGUGAAAUCCCCGGGCUUAACCUGGGAACUGCGUUUGAAACUGAGGAGCUAGAGUGUGGAAGAGGGGGGUGGAAUUCCAGGUGUAGCAGUGAAAUGCGUAGAGAUCUGGAGGAACACCGAUGGCGAAGGCAGCCCCCUGGGCUAACACUGACGCUCAUGCACGAAAGCGUGGGGAGCAAACAGG